CAAAUUCAGAGAAACCCUGGAAUUAAUAAAAAUGGGCAAUCCUGAGCCAAAUCCUGUUUUCUCAAAACAAGGGUUCAGAGAGCGAAAAAGAGGAUAGGUGCAGAGACUCAAUGGAAGCUGUUCUAACAAAUGGAGUUGACCGCGUUGGUAGAAGAAUCGAAUAUUCAUUAAUCAAAUCAUUCACUCCACAGUCCGAUAGAUCUCUUAAAGAACUUAUUAUUUUAUUCGGACGAGAAUAAAGAUAGAGUCCCGUUCUACAUGUCAAUACCGGCAACAAUGAAACUUAUAGUAAGAGGAAAAUCCGUCGACUUUAAAAAUCGUGAGGGUUCAAGUCCCUCUAUCCCCAAAAAAAUACUAUAAUUGACUCACAAAAUAUUUAUCCUAUCCGCUUUGUUCGUUAACGGUUCAAAAUUCCUUUAUCUUUCUAAUUCUUUUACAAAUGUCUUUGGUCGUAAAUGACUUUCUCUUCUCACAUGUGAUAUAGAAUAUACAUUCAAAGAUUCCUUAUUGGAAUAAUUCACAAUCAAUAUCAUUACGCAUACUGAUACUUACAAAGUCGUAUUUUUAAAGAUCCAAGAGAUUAGAGGACUUGGAGAAAACUUUGUAAUUUUCCCUUGUCCCUUUAAUUGACAUAGACCCCAGUCCU
rnacentral:misc_RNA from 1 species